GAUGAACGCUGGCGGCGUGCUUAACACAUGCAAGUCGAACGGUGAAGGCGGAGCUUGCUCUGCUGGAUCAGUGGCGAACGGGUGAGUAACACGUGAGCAAUCUGCCCCUGACUCUGGGAUAAGCGCUGGAAACGGCGUCUAAUACUGGAUACGAGCUGCGAAGGCAUCUUCAGCAGCUGGAAAGAAUUUCGGUCAGGGAUGAGCUCGCGGCCUAUCAGCUUGUUGGUGAGGUAAUGGCUCACCAAGGCGUCGACGGGUAGCCGGCCUGAGAGGGUGACCGGCCACAAGGGGACUGAGAGACGGCCCAGACUCCUACGGGAGGCAGCAGUGGGGAAUAUUGCACAAUGGGCGAAAGCCUGAUGCAGAAACGCCGCGUGAGGGACGACGGCCUUCGGGUUGUAAACCUCUUUUAGCAGGGAAGAAGCGAAAGUGACGGUACCUGAAGAAAAAGCGCCGGCUAACUACGUG
rnacentral:rRNA from 1 species